CAUAAGAAAACAAAAAGCCAAGAUAUUGAAACCACUCUGCUACAGAAAAGAUGGAGAUGGCUUGGUCAUGUCCUAAGAAAACCACAAGGAGAUAUGACCAAAGUUGCAUUAAGAUGGACACCAGAGGGAAAAAGGAAGAGAGGACGACCAAAAACAACAUGGCGUAGAACAAUAGAAACAGAGAUGAAAGAGAGAGGUUACACCUGGGGAACUAUUGAGAAAAAAGCAGAAAACAGAGAGGAGUGGCGGCAACUUGUCCUUGCCCUAUG
rnacentral:lncRNA from 1 species